rnacentral:rRNA from 1 species
CAUACUCCUACGGGAGGCAGCAGUAGGGAAUCUUCCACAAUGGGCGCAAGCCUGAUGGAGCAACGCCGCGUGUGUGAUGAAGGGUUUCGGCUCGUAAAGCACUGUUGUAAGAGAAGAAUGUACUUGAGAGUAACUGUUCAAGUAGUGACGGUAUCUUACCAGAAAGGGACGGCUAAAUACGUGCCAGCAGCCGCGGUAAUACGUAUGUCCCAAGCGUUAUCCGGAUUUAUUGGGCGUAAAGCGAGCGCAGACGGUUAUUUAAGUCUGAAGUGAAAGCCCUCAGCUCAACUGAGGAAUUGCUUUGGAAACUGGAUGACUUGAGUGCAGUAGAGGAAAGUGGAACUCCAUGUGUAGCGGUGAAAUGCGUAGAUAUAUGGAAGAACACCAGUGGCGAAGGCGGCUUUCUGGACUGUAACUGACGUUGAGGCUCGAAAGUGUGGGUAGCAAACAGGAUUAGAUACCCUGGUAGUCCACACCGUAAACGAUGAGUGCUAGCUGUUCGAGGGUUUCCGCCCUUGAGUGGCGUAGCUAACGCAUUAAGCACUCCGCCUGGGGAGUACGACCGCAAGGUUGAAACUCAAAGGAAUUGACGGGGACCCGCACAAGCGGUGGAGCAUGUGGUUUAAUUCGAAGCAACGCGAAGAACCUUACCAGGUCUUGACAUCCUUUGACCACUCCAGAGAUGGAGCUUUCCCUUCGGGGACAAAGUGACAGGUGGUGCAUGGUUGUCGUCAGCUCGUGUCGUGAGAUGUUGGGUUAAGUCCCGCAACGAGCGCAACCCUUAUUGUUAGUUGCCAGCAUUCAGUUGGGCACUCUAGCGAGACUGCCGGUGACAAACCGGAGGAAGGCGGGGAUGACGUCAAAUCAUCAUGCCCCUUAUGACCUGGGCUACACACGUGCUACAAUGGCAUAUACAACGAGUCGCCAACCCGCGAGGGUGCGCUAAUCUCUUAAAGUAUGUCUCAGUUCGGACUGUAGGCUGCAACUCGCCUACACGAAGUCGGAAUCGCUAGUAAUCGCGGAUCAGCACGCCGCGGUGAAUACGUUCCCGGGUCUUGUACACACCGCCCGUCACACCA